GGUCAGGGAAAAGUGCCCCCAGAUACCAAAUUCUUAGAGAAAAGGAUGAAUCUGGCGGGUUUGGAUAUUCAAAAUCUGGUGGCAACACUGUGAGUAGACAAAUGAAAUUUCAUUUUCGUCACGUGACAGUGUGACAGUGUCUCCUUCCUUCAAUUUCCUUGAUGGUGAUUGUCUCCAUUUCAGCCGGCUUAUUGGUCAACUUGUUGCGGAUAAUUUGACUGGCAAAGAGACAGGUCAGCUUUCGCCCAUUAUUUGGCAAGUUGCACAAAGAUAAACCGUCUCAUCUCGAGAGCGUCUUUCCCUCAUGUUCUGGGGCUUCGACAAAUACUGGAGCAGAGCUCACCUUACGGAAUCCAAGUAAGAGAGAGACCCUGUGGUGCUGUGAAUGCGUCUAGUAUUUCUUCAGGCGGCGAUAGCACAGCAGAUGAGGUACCCAAAAUUUCUCUCCACAGACUGAUAGUAAACAUGAAAAAGUCAGAAAAAAGUGGGUGGCCAAUUUCAUACCCUGUCAGAUCUCCUUUUUAACUGUCAAAGUAGCUAAUUUUAGCAUAUAACUUGUGCCCUCAAUCGUGCAGCAGGAAAAUGUCACAAAUUGAGAGCCAGCCACCAAAUCUUCAUUCAAUCGCUUUCAAACUGUCACCAGACAUAGCUAAUAUAUGCAGAAGCUUUAUGAUAUAGCUUUAUGAUAUAAUUAUAGGCAUGCUGAAAUUUUGCAUCUAAAGUUAAUGAAUCAUGAACAUGAAAUAAAGAAAAAAAAUGGAAAAUGGAAUUACAAAUAAUUAAGUUCUUGAUAAAAAAAUAUCUGGAUAGCGUAAAGAAAUAUCUAAAUAUAGUAUAUCAAAUGAUAGAUAAAGCACUAUUCAUUACAUAUUUCGUUCAUAUCCAUAUAUUGAUUUUUCAUGAGAUUCAAUCAAAUAUAAUACUAUACAUAUAUUUGCAGUUAGGCACCAUUAUGGUUUUGAUACUUGAUACCAAAUCUGAUUUAGGAUGUAAAAAUA